GGUCAGAUAGCGCAAUUGGCUAGCGCGCACUUGCUGGGACGUCUAUGCUAGCGUUACUCUUGGCACCAGGAGAACUGGAUCCAGUGGAUGUGCUAGAAAGAUUGUUCAGUGAUAAGUGAGGUUUCAGGUUCGAGUCCUGAUCUGACCA